AUUAGAGUAGUAUGUUAUAAUUAGGAUUUGCGAGUUGUGACAUUACUUCUUUCCAAAUAAUGUGACUCGCAUGGUUUAUUGAUUCGCGGUGCACUGUGGGUAACACGCUGGUUGUCGCCAUUUUCUACUCGUCGAAGUAAGAACAGGAGCAUAUCAUGUCAAGAUACAGGGAUCAAGGCACAGACACGAAGAUUUAUGUUGGAGACCUGCCUAAAGAUGCAUCUGAGAAAGAAAUAGAUCGCCACUUCAGUUAUUACGGACGUUUACGAAAUGUAUGGGUGGCAAGAAAUCCCCCAGGUUUUGCUUUUGUUGAGUUUGAAGACCCACGGGAUGCUGAGGAUGCUGUGAGAGCACUUGAUGGAACAACUGUGUGUGGUGCAAGAGUGCGUGUUGAACACUCCACUGGAAAAGUGCGCCCUAAACCAUGGCUGAGAGGCAGUGGUGGUGGCGGCGGCAGCGGAGGUGGUGGUGGUGGUGGAGGUGGUGGUGGUGGUGGUCGAGGACCUCCACGUCCCAGGAAACAGUUCCACCCAGAAGACCGAUGCUAUGAGUGUGGAGACCGAGGACACUAUGCUUAUGACUGCUACAAGUAUAGCCGCAGAAGGUCCAAGAGAUCAAGACUUUCCCUUCUUCCACUUACGAUUCUGAUGAGAAUCAUCGCUCAUUCCACCAGACUAAGAUAUCAACCUUCAUCCCCGACUUCUAGACUUCACAUAUCUCUCACGUGAUCAGCCAUCGCUGAAAUUACGACCCUAUCCCCUCGUGGUGACUUCACUCAGAGAGAAACUCGAUCUGCAACAAUUUCAGCCCAAAAUUCGACCAUCUCCUUCAGUUCACCUGAGACAAGCGUCAAAUAGAUCUCGAAACAACAAGCACAAUCGAUGAUCAUCCUUCUAUCAUGCACAGUAGAAUGGGUCAACACAUCAUUUCUGCUGCGUUCCAAUGAUUGAAUGAGAUGAUCGAUUGACAUACACGUCCAUUAUCUAGAAAUUCAUGACUGCUGUCUAGAUCACAUUCUAGAUCAAGGAGUAUCUCUCGCAGCCGGAGCCGUAGUAGGAGCCGUAGCCGCAGCCGAGGUGGAAGAUAUUCCCGCAGCCGAAGCCACAGUCGGAGCAG
rnacentral:misc_RNA from 1 species